rnacentral:rRNA from 1 species
AUUGAACGCUGGCGGCAUGCCUAACACAUGCAAGUCGAACGGAAACGAUGGGAGCUUGCUCCCAGGCGUCGAGUGGCGGACGGGUGAGUAAUACUUAGGAAUCUGCCCAGUAGUGGGGGACAACAUUCGGAAACGGAUGCUAAUACCGCAUACGCACUACGGUGGAAAGUGGGGGACCUUCGGGCCUCACGCUAUUGGAUGAGCCUAAGUCGGAUUAGCUUGUUGGUGAGGUAAUAGCUCACCAAGGCGACGAUCCGUAGCUGGUCUGAGAGGACGAUCAGCCACACUGGGACUGAGACACGGCCCAGACUCCUACGGGAGGCAGCAGUGGGGAAUAUUGGACAAUGGGCGCAAGCCUGAUCCAGCAAUGCCGCGUGUGUGAGGAAGGCCUGCGGGUUGUAAAGCACUUUCAGUAGAGAAGAAAAGCCUAGGGUUAAUACCCCUGAGUCUUGACGUAACCUACAGAAGAAGCACCGGCUAACUCCGUG